UAUAUUCACUUCAUUUUAAAGAAACUUAUUAAUGCUACUGUUUUCCUUGCUAAGCGCUCGCUUCUCCUCCGUUUGCCACCUCGCCAAACCCGAUCGACGAUCCGGCGACGCAGAUUUUUCUCCGCCGCGGCUUCGUCUGUGUCCCCAUAUGCUUGCGAGUUGAGCGCUCUGCGCGGACAUGGUUCAGCAAAAGGCGCACAGUAGGGAUUACAAGGAGGCAUCAUUUUCGUUUGGACGAAGGGAAAAACUGCCGCUUUGCUGCUUUUCAGAUUGAAUCUCCUCUCCUGUGGUUGAGACCAGUAGCAAGUGUGUCGUCCUUCAAGCACCGGCUACUCAAGUAUCCAAAUCAAAGAGACUAACCAGAAUACAUAUCGGAGGUCUUGAGCCGUAUGUUUGGCAGGGAGGAACAAACAAGCAUUUCUCCCAGGAUAUGAAACAGUGGGCGGAUCUGAGCACAUGUAGUUUGUGUGGGACUUUGAAGUUUUUUCAUUAUUAAUAUUAUUGGCUGUCUAGAUAUUGCUACUCAUGUGAUGAGGAAAUUAAUCCUCAAAGAUGGGAAAUAGCCCAUUGAUACUCCAUGUAAUGGUGUGCAGGAGCUUAGAAAUAUAAGAAGUCGAGCGAAAUACGCAACUAGCGAGAAGGAUGACACGGGAAGCGAGUCGACGGGCUCAAUGCAUAUGAGGGAUGAGGUGCCGUGAAAAAGUAUACCGAUAGAGUGAGAAGGAUUCGUGCGAUGCUUCCGAGGGACGAGAAGCCGGAGCGGAAAACUACUCGAGGAGAAGGUCGGAGUUGGGUUCAGGUAAGCUCAACUCCGAAAGGCCAGAGUGUUGGUGUAAUUUACACUAAUGAUCUAACUCAGAUUUUGAUGAAUGACAUGUGGUCUAAAGUUAGAGUGUUUUGUGCUGUAAUUGCUUUACCAAGUGUGUAGGAGUUGACGGAUUUAAAUAACCUGACACUAGGUUGAAAUCUAGCUAGCCCCGUGGAACCUGAUAGUGCGAAGUCCAGAUAAGUUCGGGGGACUCAAUAUCUGGUGGAAAGUCCGGUUGGGUCCACCGGACCUGACAACUGGUGGAAAGACCUGGUUGGUCAAAAACAAAAUCAAGCGACUGCAGUUGGUAAGUGGAGGUAAGCAACUGGAGGAGAGAUCUGUUGGUACAGGUUGCACUAAUAAUUUAGUUUUGAUGUAUGACAAAUAGGUCAAAGUUAGAUGUGGUGUGUGUUUAACCUUUUUACCAAGUGUGCAGGAGUUGACUGGUCUAAAGGUCCUGACACCAGGCUGAAAUCGAGAUAGGUCCGCGGGACCCAAUAGCUGGUGGGAAGUCCAGAUAAGUCUGUGGGGGCCCAAUAUCUGGCCGGAAGUCUAGUUGGGUCCGCGGGACCUAACAAUUGGCCGAAAUCUAGUUAGAUUUAUGAA